UACGUAGGGUGCGAGCGUUAAUCGGAAUUACUGGGCGUAAAGCGUGCGCAGGCGGUGAUGUAAGACAGGUGUGAAAUCCCUCGGCUCAACCGGGGAACUGCGUCUGAUACUGGAUGGCUUGAAUUCGGGAGAGGGAUGCGGAAUUCCAGGUGUAGCGGUGAAAUGCGUAGAUAUCAGGAGGAACACCGGUGGCGAAGGCGGGUCUCUGGGCCGAUACUGACGCUGAGGAGCGAAAGCGUGGGGAGCGAACAGG
rnacentral:rRNA from 1 species